rnacentral:rRNA from 1 species
GGCCCCGCACAAGCGGCGGAGCAUGCGGAUUAAUUCGAUGCAACGCGAAGAACCUUACCAAGGCUUGAAAUGCAGGGAAAUCUUCCAGAGAUGGGGGGUCGGUUCGUCCGGUCUUGCACAGGUGGUGCAUGGUUGUCGUCAGCUCGUGUCGUGAGAUGUUGGGUUAAGUCCCGCAACGAGCGCAACCCUCGUCCUAUGUUGCCAGCGGGUUAUGCCGGGGACUCAUAGGAGACUGCCGGGGUCAACUCGGAGGAAGGUGGGGAUGACGUCAAAUCAUCAUGCCCCUUAUGUCUUGGGCUUCACGCAUGCUACAAUGGCCGGUACAGAGGGCUGCGAUACCGUAAGGUGGAGCGAAUCCCAAAAGCCGGUCUCAGUUCGGAUUGGGGUCUGCAACUCGACCCCAUGAAGUCGGAGUCGCUAGUAAUCGCAGAUCAGCAACGCUG